UACAGAGGUCCCAAGCGUUGUUCGGAUUCACUGGGCGUAAAGGGUCCGUAGGCGGUCUAGUAAGUCAGUGGUGAAAGCCCAUCGCUCAACGGUGGAACGGCCAUUGAUACUGCUGGACUUGAAUUAUUGGGAAGCAACUAGAAUAUGUAGUGUAGCGGUGAAAUGCUUAGAGAUUACAUGGAAUACCAAUUGCGAAGGCAGGUUGCUACCAAUUGAUUGACGCUGAUGGACGAAAGCGUGGGUAGCGAACAGG
rnacentral:rRNA from 1 species